CCAACAAGAAGGGAUAUUCAGCAAUAAGCCAUAUCCACAAGCAUGUGCAAACAUUUAAUUGUAGAACUAUUUUUCUGAAUAUCGCCAUAAAUCUAUAGGUACUUAAGUACCAAAUUCAUGAAAUACCCUCCUCUUCUUUUGGUAUCUAUUUGGUGAAGCUCUACGAAUAAGGGGCAUUUUUCUUAUUAAUUCCCCCAAAGAGUCACGUCAACUCACCCUUUAUAUUUUUUAAAUCAAAUUUCACUUUUCUGGGAAGACUCUCACAGGACUCUUAGGGUACACACCCACAGCUCCGUUCUCUUCCUUUCCGACACCUGUCGCAAUGGUUGGUCAUUCUACACCUGUCCUGUGACAGGAGGACACAGUUCCAGAGAGCAGUACUUCAAAUGGGAGCAUGUGUGAGUCUAUUGUGAAGAAAACUAUGGAUACUAAAAGUCAUUGCUUAUUUGAGAGCGUGUGAACAUGCCAAACCCACUCACACAACAGAACUGGAUCAGUACCUGUGACAGAAUAAGAGCUCCAAAAGAUGUCCUCAUCCCCAGCUCUGUGAAACUCUGAGUUUGACUAUGUGGCAAGCUGGAAAAAGGUUGUUUAUAAUGAUGAUCUGCGUGGGUCCAGUGAUAUUAAAAGCAUAUGUAGGUCACAGAGAAGACAGAACAGUAAGUGUGUGGGUUUGAAAAUGCAAAGAGGCAGGAGCCAUGCAUUGGAGGGAGCCUCUAGAGUUGGGGAAGGAAGAAAGCUUCUCCACCAUAGCCCCCAGGGACACCACAGUCCUGAUGCUGUUCUAGAGAGACCCGUAUGGACCUCUGACCUCCGAAGCUGUAAGAUAGUAAGUUUGUGGUGAUUUAUCAUAGUAGCAAUGGGAAAGGAAGCCAGAAGGCAGGGGAGUACCUUGACACCCAAGGCUUUGAGAAUCUCAGGGACUCGGUGGGAAAGUGAUGGGUUCUCAUCUUGUGGCGACCUCCCUGUGUCGCUCUGACAAAGUUGCCCCAUGCCCCAAACUACAUGAUUAUUAAAAUUCAUUACUAUGUUUUCAUAACAUAGGCUAUUUUACUU